rnacentral:lncRNA from 1 species
UGUUUUUCUGUACUGGCCCUGUUUUUCUGUAAUGGCCCUGUAUUAAUGCUUAGUUCGUCUGUAUUAAGCCCAGUCAGGGUUUUUAAUAAAGUUAAUAAAAUUAAGUUGUAAAGAGUAUAACCUUUUUGUAUUUUAUUUUAUUUAGUAACCAGCAACCAACAUUAAAGAACCAUAUAAAGGGAUCACUGUUCAUCCUGUUUUUCAACACAUAACUUCUUUCAACUUAAUAUCUUGGAUAUUUGGUAUAUUUAAAAGCUUUAUCAUGGUGAAGUACAAAUAUUUUUAUUUUCAAACUAAACUGUCAUUAAAAGAGUAAGAGGGUACAUCAAGUUGGCAGCAACACAUACACUUUUGUUCAGUUGGUUAAUAAAUGUAUUUAGAAAUGGGUGUUUUUAUAAUGGCACUGUUAUAUGUCCUCGGUCAGUAAUAAUGGCC